UCGAGGAUCUUCGGCAAUGGGCGCAAGCCUGACCGAGCGACGCCGCGUGUGGGAUGAAGGCCUUCGGGUUGUAAACCACUGUCAACGGGGAGGAAAUGCAGGGGGGUUAUCCCCUCUGUUUGACCUAUCUGUGGAGGAAGUACGGGCUAAGUUCGUGCCAGCAGCCGCGGUAAGACGAACCGUACGAACGUUAUUCGGAAUUACUGGGCUUAAAGGGUGCGUAGGCUGCGCGAAAAGUUGGGUGUGAAA
rnacentral:rRNA from 1 species